rnacentral:other from 1 species
UAUUGCCUGCCCGAUGCGAUAAAUGUUCGGUUCAUUAUUAACCCAACACUCUUCUAUCGGGAGCCGUUGUACAUGAUUCCGUGGAGCAGACCUCCCGAAAUUAUUUCGGACGCUGGGAGCAUACGGAGGAAUCAGUCAGGCGCCCACCUGCUUUUACACGCAGGUUAUUACUGACCGGCACGGUCGGGUGGGUAUUAG